rnacentral:rRNA from 1 species
AUUGAACGCUGGCGGCAGGCCUAACACAUGCAAGUCGAGCGGAGCGGCGGACGGGUGAGUAAUGCCUAGGAAUCUGCCUGGUCGUGUGGGAUAACGUCCGGAAACGGGCGCUAAUACCGCAUACUAUCAGAUGAGCCUAGGGCGGCUUAGCUAGUUGGGGGGGUAAAGGCCUACCAAGGCGACAAUCCGUAACUGGUCUGAGAGGAUGAUCAGUCAAACUGGAAUUGAGACACGGUCCAGACUCCUACGGGAGGGAGCAGGGGGGAAUGUUGGACAAUGGGCGAAAGCCUGAUCCAGCCAUGCCGCUUGUGUGAAGAAUUUCUUCGGAUUGUAAAGCACUUUUAGUUGGGAGGCGUUACCAACAGAAUAAGCCCCGGCGAACUUCGUGCCAGCAGCCGCGGUAAUAC